rnacentral:lncRNA from 1 species
GGGGGGCCAGAGAGUAGGGGGGGCCAGAGAGUAGGGGGGGCCAGAGAGUAAGGGGGGCCAGAGAGUAAGGGGGGGCCAGAGAACCAGGGGGGCCAGAGACCAAGGGGGGCCAGAGACCAGGGGGGGCCAGAGACCAGGGGGCCAGAGACCAGGGGGCCAGAGACCAGGGGGGCCAGAGACUAGGGGGCCAGAGACUAGGGGGCCAGAGAGUAGGGGUGUAUUUGAGAUUAGACGCUCCAGGGUCAUGAAGCACACAGGUGGAGUAGACGAGCCCUGAUGUCCCGUAGAAAAUAACUGACGAUCCACAGCAAAACAGCCAGGCCAGACUAGACGAUCCAGAGAAAAACAGCCAGGCCAGACUAGACGAUCCACAGCAGAACAGCCAGGCGAUCCAGACCUGACUAGACGAUCCACAGCAGAAGAGCCAGGCGAUCCUGACGAUUCAGCCGGAGCAGCCUCGGCAACCACAGUGGGUACACUCUAUAAUCCUCCCCUGGAGAGAGAGAGAAACAGAGAGACAGAGAGAGAGAGAAACAGAGACACAGCGAGAGAGAGAGAGAGAGAGAGAGAGACAGAGACAGAGACAGAGACAGACAGAGAAACAGAGAGAGACAGAGACAGACAGAGAAACAGAGAGAGACAGAGAAACAGAGAGAGAGAGAGACAGAGACAGAGACAGAGAGAGAGAGAGAGACAGAGAGACAGAGAGAGAGAGAGAGACAGAGAGACAGAGAGAGAAACAGAGAGACAGAGAAACAGAGAGACAGAGAAACAGAGGAACAGAGACAGAGAAACAGAGAGAGAAACAGAGAGAGAGACAGAGAGAGAGACAGAGAGAGAGACAGAGAGAGAGAGAGAGAGAGAGAGACAGAGAGAGACAGAGAGAGAGACAGAGAG